AAUAGGAUGACAGAUAGGAAUGUAGUAGAUUGUAAAUCUAUGAAUAAAGGUUCGAGUCCUUUUCCUAUUA
rnacentral:tRNA from 1 species